GCAAACGGAUUCACGUGAUGAAUGGAUAUUGACAUUCGGCUGCUGCAGGGAUACAAUAGUGGUCAGUUUAAAUUCCAAUAAAUCGAGGAUCCGGAUUGUAAUUCUCGUGGAACAGACGAUAAAUUUGUUGCAGCAGUACUCUAGAUUUCCGCGAGAAUGGAGGAGAAUAGAUCUGGCGGAAAUAAGCGAGAAAAAUAUCAACAGUAUUUAGAUACUGUCGCUGUAUUUACUCUAGCUUUGUCAUCAGUAAACUGCAAAUAUUUGUGUAAAUUUACAUUAAAAAGCAAUUAAAAGAGUGGGAUCUGGGCAGAGAUUUGUUUCGCUAAAUAAAUGGAUAUUUUAUGGACCUUUUUUUCGAAACUUUAUAUACGUAUUACGUAUCCUCGCAUGUUUAAAUUUCCCACAAAUCCAUAAAUAAUUAUUUUCUCGCAAGGACUUGACAGAGUAUAUUCAUACAGGAGUAUAAAGGAAAAUGCUAUUAGCAAUUAGUUUAGCAGCUAUAAUAGAUGUCCAUCUUUGUGAUAAACGAUGUGUAUCCUUAAACGUCCUUAUGAAUGCUGUGGCACGUUCUUUCCAUACGUAUAAUCGUAUACAAUUGUAUGCAAUUCCAUUGUAAAUUAAACGACCUUCCUUGUGGCAUAUUAGAGUAAGGAACGAAGAAGGAAAUAUACCAACCCAAAUGAGAAUCAUCGCAAGCUUGACCAGGUGGCGGCAUUAUAGCCCAACCGUUGCCAUGAAAACCAAUGCCAAGAAGCUCGCACCUUGGCCCCUCAAGACCCGGAGGACACUCGCACCUAUCUGCCAACGGUGUGCCUCCAUUCAGACAAACGAUCGGUUCA